CCUACGGGAGGCAGCAGUGGGGAAUAUUGCACAAUGGGGGAAACUCUGAUGCAGCGACGCCGCGUGAGUGAAGAAGUAUUUCGGUAUGUAAAGCUCUAUCUGCAGGAACGAGACAAGACGGUACCCGACUAAGAAGCCCCGGCUAACUACGUGCCAGCAGCCGCGGUAAUACGUAGGGGGCAAGCGUUAUCCGGAAUCACUGGGUGUAAAGGGAGCGUAGGCGGGUAAGCAAGCUGAAUGUGUAAGGUAGGGGCUCAACCUCGGAAAGCGUUGGGAACUGUACGUCUGGAGUGUCGGAGAGGCAGGCGGAAUUCCUAGUGUAGCGGUGAAAUGCGUAGAUAUUAGGAGGAACACCAGUGGCGAAGGCGGCCUGCUGGACGACAACUGACGGUGAGGCGCGAAAGCGUGGGGAGCAAACAGGAUUAGAUACCCGUGUAGUC
rnacentral:rRNA from 1 species